GUCCUUUCUGCUUAGCUAAAGACAAGUGAAUUUCACAAAAUACACAGGUUCAGUGGCAGGAGGCAGCAUGGCUGCAACCUAAGGAAUGUGGUACUCUGGAAGGGGGAAGGAGAACCUAUCCCGUGGCUUUAAUCAGGAUGUCAGAUCAUUUUAUGGGAUGCAGUACUCAGCAGCACUUACUUUUGAGUCUCCUUUGUACCUACCAAUUGCCUAUUGUCAAAUUAUCUUCAUAACGGUUAUAGAAUUGUAUAUCAUUAUCCUGUGUUUCUUCAUGCUUUUCUGCUGAUAACUCAGGGCAGAAAACUGUGACAAGAAGGACUGAGUUGAGGGGAUGAAAUUGCUCAGAUGCCUGAGGCGACAGACUGAGUUGACUAGAAUCAUCAUGAUUAUUCAAAUGAGAAUUAUCCAAAUGACCCAGAUUUCUUCCCUGCUGCAUCAUGACAAAUUGCUAGACAAUGACACCUCUACUGUCUGCAUUUCUGUGGGCAGACACAUUUGGAUACCCAUACAGGUAUUCCACAUCAUAACAUCGUAUAGUGCACUGGGAGUUAAAGUGUUAAUGCUCCAGUUCCGGGCAUCUGUCCGGAAGAGAAGAACUACAUCCCCUAGGGGGCUUUGUGGUUGGAGAGGAGAUAUAACCUCUGGCAAAGUCACCUGAUGUCCAUCUUCUUCCCUUGGCUCUCAUCCCGACCACAUGCAUCACCUCAGCACUACUGUAAGGCCUACAGCUCUCAGACACUCUUUCUCUCAUUAUAUUUCAUUUAUUAGUUUCAAUUCUAAUUAUAUUGUAUUAUAGUGUGUUAUCUUGCAUUCUGAUACUGUAUUUAGUAAAUCAGCUUGUUUAUCCUCAGAUCGUCGCCGGUGUUUUUAAUUAUUUUGAGGUCCCCGUUUCCCUUUUCCGGAGGCACAGAUUUUGCGAAAUCCCUCUGCCUCACUGGUCACAGAACCAGGCUGAACCAGCCUGUAAACAGUUGACAUUCUAUUUAUCAGAAAUUCAG
ensembl:lncRNA